UACAGAGGUCUCAAGCGUUGUUCGGAUUCAUUGGGCGUAAAGGGUGUGUAGGUGGCGCGCUAAGUCGGGUGUGAAAUUUCGGAGCUUAACUCCGAAACUGCAUUCGAUACUGGCGUGCCUGAGGACUGGAGAGGAGACUGGAAUUUACGGUGUAGCAGUGAAAUGCGUAGAUAUCGUAAGGAAGACCAGUGGCGAAGGCGGGUCUCUGGACAGUUCCUGACACUGAGACACGAAGGCCAGGGGAGCAAACGGG
rnacentral:rRNA from 1 species